GUUUUACAUUGUUUGUGAUGAUACGCUGCAGGAUUGAGCCUCAGUGUCCCAUGAUUACCAGUUUAUUAUAAAAGGAAACACCUCAGGAACAGCCAGAUGGAAGAGAUGCACAGGGCAGUCUUGAACACAGAUAUGGUAGGGACUCCACUUUGAGUGUUCAAAUAAGAACAACACGUUGGGCGUGGUAGAGCAAGAAGAUGGAAAAAACCUGGCCCCCGAAUGACCCUGUAGAGAAGAGCCAGCCAGCCAGCCAGACAGAACUACUCAUACCUGGACUAUUAUGUAAGAGAUAAGUAAACUUUUGU